rnacentral:lncRNA from 1 species
GUACGUUUUACUUUAUGUUAUUAGCUGUAUCGAUAACGUCGUAUAUGGCGCAACUUUGUCAUGUAUUGUUCAGAACGUUACCGUUGAGUCAAUAUUUUAAGCGUGAACCCAAAAGUGUUCAUUUAUGAGUUCUUAACUGGAAGAAUUGAUAUGUCUAGAUUUGUUUAUUUAUAAGGUUGUAUUAUUAUAAGCGUUUUGAGUCGAGGACUCCUAUAUUUUAUGUAAGCGUUUUACGUUAUGUUACGUUAUGUUUUUCUUCCUGCCUAGAAUAUUUACUUCCGGUAAUUUGAAAUAAAUACCAGUGCAACGUCACGUUUUUGCUGUGUUUACUUUUGGCUUGCAGCAAGGCUCGUCCCGGGGGUUCCUAGAGGUAAGAAGCAGCGCAUUAGCUGUAUGCCUCGCAUUUUAUAUUACAAGUAAGGGUUAUAAUUUAGAGGUAAGAAGCAGCGCAGAUAGCUGUAUGCCUUGCAUUUUAUUUAUAUUGUCAUUGAAAUAUUUAAGAUAAUUCCAGUUGACCCGUACGAAAAUACACGAGAAAGAAUAUUAUUUAAGUAUCUUCGCCCCGUAUGUUUAUUAUAUUAUUGUUGGAAUAUUGUACUUUUAUGGAAAUAUAUCGGCUGUUUAAUAAAAGUAUCAUUUUUACUAUUGACUAGUUAUUCACGCUACCAAUGAUGAGAGAGAACAGACAACAGAUUUUACGUCCGUAUUUAUUUAUUACCCCGUGCAUUUACUAGUUUUAUGAGAUAUUCGUAUUUGCUGGCUUUAUAACUAUAUCAAAACAUAGCAAGAAGCAGAAAUU